UUGCUACUCCCUCCGUUUGGAAUUACUUGUCUCGGAAUUAGAUGUAUUUAGAACCAAAAUACGGCUAGAUACAUCCAUUUCUACGACAAGUAAUUCUGAAUGGAGGGAGUAGUAA
rnacentral:pre_miRNA from 1 species